AUUUGAAGUGAAGUAGAUUAUAAUUUGCAAAGAUUUUUGGUAUAGUGAUAUCUCACUUCGCGAGAAUUCUGAGUCGGAGAGGGGCGUUCCCGACUGCCUUAGGAUUGAGACAGACUCCUGUUCAUCUGAUAAAGGCUAUUCAAUUUGUCAUCUCAUCUGCUAUUGUCUGGAUACUUGGUGAGUCGAGAAAAUUAGUACAAAAAUGUUGGGAUUUUAGAAGACUUGCUAUACAAGAAUCGACUAAUGCCAAACGAAAUGGAGGCUGACUUCCGUAAUUAUCUGCUGGUGCAAUUAGUUUCAACAAGGAUUACGCUGGAUCCGAGAUGCGUUACGCCAGUACGGGACUUUUACAAAUGGUUGUUGGUUCUUUCAUUACUGAAUGCAUAUAAGAAUCUACUGCAAGCUGCUCUGAAGGAGGAACCUGACCAGAUAAGUUACUUCAGGAAUCUGUUAUUCCUGUAAACCCAAGCUUGUUUGCUCUUCCCGAUCAGAAAGUUUCUUCAGAAAAUACAGCCCGGAAGAGCCCAAGGAAUUGAAUUUAACAUGACUGUCUUAGCAAGUGCUCUCUGCUGUUUGAUCAGACUUCUGUGGCAGAUUUUUCCGAGUCUCGACGAAAUUUCAAAAAUAUGACCUUGUUAGCAGAAAAACUGCAGUUUUCUUUCGCAAUUGCAUGCGAAAGAUCUUUGAUACAGAAGCUCGAAUGAUUUUGAUUCUUUUUUGUCCAUUAAAUGUCUAAUUUUCAGUAUGUUAAUCGUUUUAAGUGUUGUGCAGUUCAUUGCGAAGUAGUGUAGAAAUCUUUUUCCAGUUCUGAAAGCUCCAAAUACUUCGAUUAACGUAAGGCGGUUCAGCCUCUUCCCCCCCCUCCCCCCAAAGCUUCAUUCCAUUAAGAUAGAAUUCGAAACUAAUCCUUCUAUAAGUGGUUGCUCCGAAUAAUAGUAUACAAGCCUCGACGCAUCAAUAAAACUAUUGUCUGUGAAGAAUACGAUAUCUUGUCUUGUGUUUUGAUAAACCAUGUAAACAUAAAAACAUAAAUUUGAAACCGUUUUAAAUUAUAGUUAAGUACCCGCAGCAUACCUUUGAAUAAAAGAAAAUCAAUCCAAGAAACUCAAUACUUUGAGCACCGAAGAGUAUUCAAUAUUAAUUCAUCCGAUUGAAAAAAUUCAAUACUUAUGAUAUUGAGAAUAAAAUUGGCUUCAUCAAGUCAUCUGACUUUUUGCCUUUCAAGACUUAAGUCGUGACUCUUCAAGCAAUAAAUUUUAAUCUCAGAGCCAAGAAUGUGAAUAUGAUGCAUGUUAAAAAUAUAUGCAAGUUUACACACGGUAAAACUGAAUAAAUGGCGACAUUAAUUUUGGAAAUAAAUACUCUGAAAUUUAUUAACUUAAAA